AUUGAAAUCAGAAAAAUGAUUGAAAUCUUAUUAUAAUGUACAAUUGCACAAUAUAUAAAUUUUAAACUUUAUAGUUAGCAUCAAUUGACUUUUGAUUAAAGUAAACCAGUAACUUUCACUGGACCAGAUUCAUUACAAGCCAGGUGUUUAUCUUAACUGUCAGUUUGAUAUAAACAGUUUGCCUACUGCCUGCUCAAACAGGUCAAAUAACUAUGCAUAGCACAGUCUUAAGCGCGCGGUCCGUUGAGCCAAUUCAAAAAUCUAAGCCAGAAGGUCAGAAAUGUUCUAAGGAAGAGGCAAGAAUUAAGACUGAAAGCAUUGAUUUCUGGAUAUAAAAAGAAGACAUCUUUUUGGAAAUUAGAAAAUGAAGAGAUAAAGAGACAGGAUAAGAAGUGAGCAUGAAAUGGUGCAGCACACUCUUCUGUGACUGGUUAGA